rnacentral:rRNA from 1 species
CAGCAGCCACGGUAAUACGAGUGGUGCAAGCGUUAUUCGGAAUUAUUGGGCGUAAAGGGUGUGCAGACGGUUUGUUAAGUCGCUUGUUAAAUUCUCCGGCUUAACCGGAGGCCAGCAUGUGAAACUAGCAGACUAGAGGGUGAGAGAGAGAAGUGGAAUUCUCGGAGUAGCGGUAAAAUGCGUAGAUCUCGAGAGGAACACCAAUGGCGAAGGCAGCUUCUUGGCUCACUCCUGACGUUCAUACACGAAAGCGUGGGGAGCAAACAGGAUUAGAUACCCAGUAGUCCCUGUCUCUUAUACC